GCCAACGGCCAUACCAGUCUGAAAGUGCCUGAUCUCGUCAGAUGACAUCCAGACUCGGGCCUGGUUAGUACUUGUAUGGGAGACCAACUAGGAACCUCAGGUGCCGUAAGCU